GUAGCAAGAUAGCAGCGCAUUUGUGCUGCCUGUUUAUUUGCCUGGUAACCCGUUGCUUUAGGGUCCUUACCCAUAUUUCUAAAUGCGCAUUAUUAAGAGAGAUGGCAGUGGAUAUUAAAGAGGCAUUGUGGGACACAAGGCCAUGCAACGUGGGGAAGAAGUGAUGGACCAGGCACACUUACUAUUACGGCGACAACUUAUGUAACAGGAAUGUUUGCCCGGCAACCAGUUCCCACGGUAACAAUCUGCUCUGCAAUAUAAUGUAAAAAGAACAGAAAAUUCUUGAAUAGUAUGAAAUCGGACUGGUGCCUAGUUUUUUUGCAGAUAUAAUCAGUUAACCCCUCAAAGGGACAAUAAUUUGGUUUUUGCAAACAGGGUUGCUAACACCUGAAUGUGUCCCUUCUGUGUAUCGCUAAAAUCAAUUCAUUGCCACAGCCUACAGGGAGCAGAUUAGAAUCUCCCCUUCUGUUUUACCCUGCAAGACACUCAUUGCUUUUUUUCACAAAAUUCCUUCUGCUUUGCCUAUGAAUGAAGCUGUCUCUCCUUAACGAAAA